AGGGUCGCGGGAAGUCUGAAAAGAAGCAGGGGCGGGCAGGCAGCACCAGGAGUUUCCUUGCAUCUUUUGUCCUGUUGCAUAAGACCAUUGGGAAAGAACUGAGGAAGCUGAUGCAUUAUUAAACUCAUCAUGAUCACCUCU